rnacentral:rRNA from 1 species
UACAGAGGUCUCAAGCGUUGUUCGGAUUCAUUGGGCGUAAAGGGUGCGUAGGCGGCGCGGUAAGUCGGGUGUGAAAUCUCGGAGCUUAACUCCGAAACUGCAUUCGAUACUGCCGUGCUUGAGGACUUGGAGAGGAGACUGGAAUUCAUGGUGUAGCAGUGAAAUGACGUAGAGAUCAUGAGGAAGACCAGUGGCGAAGGCGGGUCUCUGGACAGUUCCUGACACUGAGGCACGAAGGCCAGGGGAGCAAACGGG